GAUGAACGCUGGCGGCGUGCCUAAUACAUGCAAGUCGAGCGAACAGACGAGGAGCUUGCUCCUCUGACGUUAGCGGCGGACGGGUGAGUAACACGUGGAUAACCUACCUAUAAGACUGGGAUAACUUCGGGAAACCGGAGCUAAUACCGGAUAAUAUAUUGAACCGCAUGGUUCAAUAGUGAAGGACGGUUUUGCUGUCACUUAUAGAUGGAUCCGCGCCGCAUUAGCUAGUUGGUAAGGUAACGGCUUACCAAGGCAACGAUGCGUAGCCGACCUGGGAGGGUGAUCGGCCACACUGGAACUGAGACACGGUCCAGACUCCUACGGGAGGCAGCAGUAGGGAAUCUUCCGCAAUGGGCGAAAGCCUGACGGAGCAACGCCGCGUGAGUGAUGAAGGUCUUCGGAUCGUGAAACUCUGUUAUUAGGGAAGAACAAAUGUGUAAGUAACUAUGCACGUCUUGACGGUACCUAAUCAGAAAGCCACGGCUAACUACGUG
rnacentral:rRNA from 1 species